UUUAAAAAUAAAAUUUAGGUUCCAUUUGCCAUAGUGGAUAUGUUUUCACUCUUUGUUGAAUGCUAUUGGAAUAUUGUUUUUUCUUUUGUCAAACUCCAGUUAAUAUAUUUCCCUUGUAUUGUAUUUUAGGUUGUUCAGAAGCACGAAGAGAUCAGUAAAGUCGAGAAGGACAGUGUUCUCAGGCAUACUGAAUAUGGCAGGGUGAAUACUGGCAGACGUCAAGUUCCUGGACCAUUCCAGGUAUCUAAACCCGAGGUUCACGGACGAAGCGUUGGAGCGCGACCUUGAGCUCCACGCCUCUUGCAGCUACCUUCAGCGGUAGGAGUGGAACGACCGGAGAAGCAGAACCGCAAAAAAGAUGGCUCAAAUCAUGGACCAGUAGAUGGCAAGGGCGACACGGACAUCGUGAAGAGGUGGUGUGUUUGGAGGGACACUCGGUGGAUGUGGUCAUGAAAAAAUAACCUCUAAUACGUCGUUUUGUGUUCGUUCAGAUAUCAGUGCUCCCCUGUGCGACCAAAUAUCGUUGACAGUGUGGAUAAUUGUAAGCAUCGUUCGCUGUUAAAGAAGAGGUUACUUGGGACAUUUUUUACUCAAAAGAUAAAUUUUCUUCAGUAUGCGUUGUAUUCCAGUUUUUGGCCAAUUAUUCAGCUUCAAU